rnacentral:rRNA from 1 species
GCCGAGCGGUAGAGUCUCCUUCGGAGACUUGAGAGCGGCGCACGGGUGCGGAACACGUGUGCAACCUGCCUUUAUCUGGGGGAUAGCCUUUCGAAAGGAAGAUUAAUACCCCAUAAUAUAUUGAAUGGCAUCAUUCGAUAUUGAAAACUCCGGUGGAUAGAGAUGGGCACGCGCAAGAUUAGAUAGUUGGUGAGGUAACGGCUCACCAAGUCAGCGAUCUUUAGGGGGCCUGAGAGGGUGAUCCCCCACACUGGUACUGAGACACGGACCAGACUCCUACGGGAGGCAGCAGUGAGGAAUAUUGGACAAUGGGUGAGAGCCUGAUCCAGCCAUCCCGCGUGAAGGACGACGGCCCUAUGGGUUGUAAACUUCUUUUGUAUAGGGAUAAACCUACCCUCGUGAGGGUAGCUGAAGGUACUAUACGAAUAAGCACCGGCUAACUCCGUGCCAGCAGCCGCGGUAAUACGGAGGGUGCAAGCGUUAUCCGGAUUUAUUGGGUUUAAAGGGUCCGUAGGCGGAUCUGUAAGUCAGUGGUGAAAUCUCACAGCUUAACUGUGAAACUGCCAUUGAUACUGCAGGUCUUGAGUGUUGUUGAAGUAGCUGGAAUAAGUAGUGUAGCGGUGAAAUGCAUAGAUAUUACUUAGAACACCAAUUGCGAAGGCAGGUUACUAAGCAACAACUGACGCUGAUGGACGAAAGCGUGGGGAGCGAACAGGAUUAGAUACCCUGGUAGUCCACGCCGUAAACGAUGCUAACUCGUUUUUGGGCUUUUUGGGGUUCAGAGACUAAGCGAAAGUGAUAAGUUAGCCACCUGGGGAGUACGUUCGCAAGAAUGAAACUCAAAGGAAUUGACGGGGGCCCGCACAAGCGGUGGAUUAUGUGGUUUAAUUCGAUGAUACGCGAGGAACCUUACCAAGGCUUAAAUGGGAAAUGACAGGUUUAGAAAUAGACUUUUCUUCGGACAUUUUUCAAGGUGCUGCAUGGUUGUCGUCAGCUCGUGCCGUGAGGUGUUAGGUUAAGUCCUGCAACGAGCGCAACCCCUGUCACUAGUUGCCAUCAUUAAGUUGGGGACUCUAGUGAGACUGCCUACGCAAGUAGAGAGGAAGGUGGGGAUGACGUCAAAUCAUCACGGCCCUUACGCCUUGGGCCACACACGUAAUACAAUGGCCAGUACAGAGGGCAGCUACACAGCGAUGUGAUGCAAAUCUCGAAAGCUGGUCUCAGUUCGGAUUGGAGUCUGCAACUCGACUCUAUGAAGCUGGAAUCGCUAGUAAUCGCGCAUCAGCCAUGGCGCGGUGAAUACGUUCCCGGGCCUUGUACACACCGCCCGUCAAGCCAUGGAAGUCUGGGGUACCUGAAGUCGGUGACCGUAACAGGAGCUGC